rnacentral:rRNA from 1 species
GACGAACGCUGGCGGCGUGCUUAACACAUGCAAGUCGAACGGAAAGGCCCUGCUUUUGUGGGGUGCUCGAGUGGCGAACGGGUGAGUAACACGUGAGUAACCAGCCCUUGAUUUUGGGAUAACUUCAGGAAACUGGGGCUAAUAACGGACAGGAGCUCCUGCUUCAUGGUGGGGGGUGGAAAGUUUCGGCGGUUGGGGAUGGACUCGCGCCUUAUCAGCUUGUUGGUGGGGUGCUGGCUUUCCAAGGCUUGGACGGGUAGCCGGCCUGAGAUGGUCACCGGCCACAAUGGGACUGGAAUACGGCACAGACUCCUACGGUAGGCAGCAGAGGGGUAUAUUGCACAAUGCGCUGAAGCCUGAUGCAGUACCGCCGCGCGCGGUAUGACGGCCUUCGGGUUGUAACCCGAAUUCGCCUGUGACGAAGCGUGAGUGACGGUACUGGGUAAAGAAGCACCGGCUAACUACGUG